rnacentral:rRNA from 1 species
GCUCGUGUCGUGAGAUGGUUAGGGUUAACGUUACCCGUAACGAGCGCAACCCUUGUCCUUAGUUACCAGCACGUUAUGGUGGGCACUCUAAGGAGACUGCCGGUGACAAACCGGAGGAAGGUGGGGAUGACGUCAAGUCAUCAUGGCCCUUACGGCCUGGGCUACACACGUGCUACAAUGGUCGGUACAAAGGGUUGCCAAGCCGCGAGGUGGAGCUAAUCCCAUAAAACCGAUCGUAGUCCGGAUCGCAGUCUGCAACUCGACUGCGUGAAGUCGGAAUCGCUAGUAAUCGUGAAUCAGAAUGUCACGGUGAAUACGUUCCCGGGCCUU